GGCGAGAUGGCCGAGCGGUCUAAGGCGCUGUGUUAAGGUGACCCUUCCUCAAGGAAGAGCAUCUCCGCAGUCUUCGGACGUGGGUUCGAAUCCCACUCUCGUCA
rnacentral:tRNA from 1 species